rnacentral:rRNA from 1 species
AGAGUUUGAUCCUGGCUCAGGACGAACGCUGGCGGCGCGCCUAACACAUGCAAGUCGAACGGAGCUGAGAGGAGCUUGCUUUUCUUAGCUUAGUGGCGAACGGGUGAGUAACGCGUGAGUAACCUGCCCUGGAGUGGGGGACAACAGUUGGAAACGACUGCUAAUACCGCAUAAGCCCACGAUCCGGCAUCGGAUUGAGGGAAAAGGAUUUAUUCGCUUCAGGAUGGACUCGCGUCCAAUUAGCUAGUUGGUGAGGUAACGGCCCACCAAGGCGACGAUUGGUAGCCGGACUGAGAGGUUGAACGGCCACAUUGGGACUGAGACACGGCCCAGACUCCUACGGGAGGCAGCAGUGGGGGAUAUUGCACAAUGGGGGAAACCCUGAUGCAGCGACGCCGCGUGGAGGAAGAAGGUUUUCGGAUUGUAAACUCCUGUCGUUAGGGACGAUAAUGACGGUACCUAACAAGAAAGCACCGGCUAACUACGUGCCAGCAGCCGCGGUAAAACGUAGGGUGCAAGCGUUGUCCGGAAUUACUGGGUGUAAAGGGAGCGCAGGCGGGAAGACAAGUUGGAAGUGAAAACCAUGGGCUCAACCCAUGAAUUGCUUUCAAAACUGUUUUUCUUGAGUAGUGCAGAGGUAGAUGGAAUUCCCGGUGUAGCGGUGGAAUGCGUAGAUAUCGGGAGGAACACCAGUGGCGAAGGCGGUCUACUGGGCACCAACUGACGCUGAGGCUCGAAAGCAUGGGUAGCAAACAGGAUUAGAUACCCUGGUAGUCCAUGCCGUAAACGAUGAUUACUAGGUGUUGGAGGAUUGACCCCUUCAGUGCCGCAGUUAACACAAUAAGUAAUCCACCUGGGGAGUACGACCGCAAGGUUGAAACUCAAAGGAAUUGACGGGGGCCCGCACAA